CCCCGCCGCCGCCCCUUCUGGCCAGGUGCUCGACCCCCCGCCGCCGCGCGGCUGCCCCUUCUGGCCAAAGGCUCAACCCCCCGCCUCCGUGCCUGCUCGGCCCCGCCGCCGCGCCUGCUCGCCAGCCGCUCAGCCCCUUCACGCCCCCGACACCCUCCGCUUUCCUGGGGCUGACACGCCGCCGUGAGCAUAGGCUGCAGCACGCCCCCGACCGACGCCGGCGUCCGAGCGGCACCUCCGCCGCAGGGGGUCCGGGCCGUGGCAGCACGCCCCCGGGCGCCGACGAAGGUUGACACGGCGAUAGUUCGUCAGUUCCUCUCGCCAAAACAGGCACCCACGAGCUGGCCUUGUUGCAAGGAUGAAUCUGCUUAUCUCGUAAUCAAUGGAACAAAAUGUACUGAGUAUUUACUAUUACUACUGAAAUACUACUACUUUUUUGCAAAUUACAGAAAUACUACUAUAUAUGAUUUGGGAAAAAUAAUCGGGUCUCUCAUUCAGUUUAGUCCACCUAAUUUUUUUUCUUUGUAGCUCCGCCACCAAAAGAUAGGCCCCGUUUUAAAUUCUGGGCACAGGGCCUCUGAUAUUGUUGGCCCGGCCCUGUCCGUGAAUAAUUCCCUUGCCAAUUCAAUUAUUAUCUAUGUUGGUUAUAGAGCAUUAGAUCAAUUAAUUGGAAGGAUAUAGACACACUCUGUACGUACAAGCUAGCUAGCUAGCUACUACAAGCAGCUUGAUUGAUUGUUUUAUGAGAAGCUUCCUGCGUCUUCGUUCUAUUAAAACUUUGGACCAGUUUAUAAGAUACCAAAUGUUGGACAGUAUACAUCUAUUUCAUAUCAAUGUUUGCUACCGACAUACGUAGUUGUGAUAGUUAACAUUUCCUGCUCCAUAUUGUUUCUUCUGUUGACAAAUCCAGAGCAAUAUAUCAUAUCAUUCCCUAUUUAUGUUAAGAAUAUGGUCUUCAUGAAACAAGGAUUGUAAGGGUUUCUUACUAGCUGAUCCAGUGAAGUCUUGUUGGUGUGCUUUCUUUAAAUGAAUUUUAAACACUACAUACUGGUGCUAUUGCUCUUGUUAUAAAAUUGGUCUACAUUCUUUCUAGAAAACUUUAUUCUAUGGAUGCUGCCUGAUGUGAUUGUCUUUUUAGUACUGUCCGAAACCUUUCAUAUAAACAAAGUGGAGAUUACACAUCUGUUUUGGACCUAGAGCCAUAUUCAUUGCCAAUAAGAGCAGCUUCUGCAUGGUAUGUGAUACUCUUCCUCUCAGGCAUGUUUUCUUUUCAGCAUAAUCAUCUCCCAGUGAGUUGUAUUUUCUUUUCUCCAAUGAGGGUCUGCUGCAUGACCAAUUCAUUUCUCUGUUCUAUCUGAUUGGUGAUGACUUUCUGAUAAUUUGUAUGUCUUUUUGGACUGGUCAUUAGUUUUUGAAAUUAGAUACUUUUGUUAAUUGCAAGAGAGAUAAUUGUGAUCAUUUUCCUAUUGUGUGUACUCUAUUCUACGUAAUCAGAUUCUCAAAGGUGUGUUGCCAUCGAAGGUGAAGACUAGAUGUUCUACUCUUGUGCCUGAACAAUCUGUAGUUGGCAGCAAGUUUUUUCUUAACAGUGUUCAAUCAACUUGCCCAUGUUGUAUAUACAAUAUAUACAAUUCCAUAAAACUUGCUUAUAUGUUUUUUCUUUUUGUAAAAAUGCAUCGGCUCACGGUCACUGAAUAAUUAGGUUUCAGAUUAUGUAGUUUUCUGCAGGUUGUCAGAUAAACUCUUCCAGAGAUUGAGAUCUAAUCACAACAGCUUUGAGUCCUUUACCUUUUUAUUUUGCAAAAUGCGAUCAGAAGUAGUUUUCAUCUCUAAUGGUAAUGAAUAGAUUCUCAAAAAAGCAAAUUAAUUGGAAUGAUCUGCUUAGCAUGUCCCAUGACUUCAAAAGGAAUAAUUUGACUAAACUGAGAUGUUGAUCAGCAGUGAAAAGAUAGACGAAAUCAAAGACUGGGGACCUACGAUUGUCCUGUAACCCCCUUUGUCAGCACUUCGUGAGUUCAUGAUACACUCUUAGUUUAAUAAUUGAUUGAACAGUGACAGUUAGUGUUAUGCUUAUAAGUUGGUAUCCCCAAGUACUGUCUGUUGUAUAUGCUGUGUAUUAUUACCUCCUUCAAAUUGAAAUGUUGUUCUAAUAAAAAUACAACAUGACCAAGACUGUACUUGUUAUUGCAAAUUGUUGGUGAUGCUAAAUAACUAUGGGCUCAGGAUCAAGGCUGUACUUGUUAUUGCAAAUGAGUUAUUGCUUUGUAUUUUUACAUGCCGGCGGUUGGUAGGUGAUAAUAAUUUCUGCAUGUCUACACAUAGUUUAUUCAUCCCACUGGAAAAAGCACCAAGAAUGUUGUGUGCAGAGAUGUCUUGGAGGGACAACACAUGUUUGUUUUCCAUACAUGCCAAUCCACCUUAUUAUAUUAGGACAUAUUACUCAUCUCUAAUAUUGUUUUUUUUCUAAUUUAUGUACAUAUUAUGCAUACAAUGAUGAGCUGUUCUAUUAGGAUAAUUAAAUUAGGGAGUCUUACUAAAUAAUAGUAUAAAGAUGGUACUGAAGGAGGCUUUGCAACUAGCAAGGUAAUCUGUUUACAAUCCGACUGUGAUAUUUAUUAAAAGAUAUAUGGAUGUUGUGUUCUCUCAGACAAUAUAAAGCAUGCUUCUACAUUCUCUGCUAAAUUUGCAACUUUCAAUGUUUUGUGGGGCCUUUCCUCUCAACUGUAGGGAUUUUACCUCCCUGAUUUUUCUGUGUGUGACUCUAGCUAUUUUACUUCAUUUAUGUUGUUUGUUUUGUCAAUUUUGUUGAAGUUACUGCAGUUGACUGCUCUGAAUUGUUGAUCGUCCACCUUGAAGGUUAUAAUUGCUUAAGAAGCAGAAGGAGAUUUUGAAUAUUUGGUCCGACAACUUCCACCUGAUCAGUUUGAGAAUAAAAGCAGAAGAAUGCAUCCAGCGAGCAAUGAUUAAGCAUAUUGAUCAAAUAAAGCAUUAAAUAUACAAAGGUCUCCACAAGGUUUGCAUAAGAUGCUCUGAUCGCGUGCAAGAUUGGAGCGCCCUGUGCAAUUCCUCGACUAUUUGACACAGCGAGCGUCGAACGGGAGAGUUCUGAGAGGAGGCACGUCCACCAGGUGCAUCUCCUUCGUUUGGCCAAGGCCACCAGUGAAUAACAGUUGUGGAACCGCAUCAUUCACUUGCCUACCAUAGAUUGACGGGCGCUCCGCUCCACUACUCCAUCUCAUGUUGUAUAUUUCCUCUCUUUAUAUCAAAUAAAGUAUAGCAUGUAAAUAUGUUUAAAUUUAGAAAUAAUGUUUUCCCUUCUAUCUUCACUUAUACUGUUACAAAAAUGUAACUAAAUUAAGUGGAUGCUCUUAUUUGAAGCCAGAUUAUAGGAUUAUUCCUCUGGUGUUAUUGAUGGUUUGAUCUAGAAUUUGGUAUGAUGUAUAACCAUCAGUUCAGUAGAUGGUUCCUUUAUAUUAUUUCAAAGGCUUGG